CUGGGGCUAUUUCUUCUCAAUUCAAUCAUGGGUUGGGUUGAUGGUUAAUAACCCUGAAAUAUAAGGUCUUUUGUCAGUCUGGCAUCAAUGAUGAGUGGUGUGACAAGGCUUGGUGUAUCACUGAUAAUUGCUUAGAAAUGACUCCACACUACCCAGUUUUUUGGUGUAUUUUUCAACAGUAUUGCAUAAAAAAGUCUUUAGCAACCACUGGUACAUGCUUCUGAGAAGCAUUUGACCACAGAAUAUCUUAGAUUCAAAACACAUUGCUUUGUGGGAAGAAAGGCACCACCCAGCACACACACCCAUCCUAAUUUUGAAUGGACUUAAUUUCUGAAUUCUAGACACUGCCUCACAAUGAUAUAAAAACAACAAGAGCCUCAUUAAAACCCCAGAGGCUGAGCCCACAAACAGGAAUUCAUAGAGUCUCUAAGAGAAAGAUAUCUGGGCAACAUUUCUACAUUUUGAGCUGUCUGGCUGGUUGAGACAGACGAUCUGAUGGCUAGAAUGAUUUGCAAAAAAUUCAACACUGACCAAUCAGAGCAGACAGUCUAAAUAAACACCGAUUCUUACAAGGCUACCUUCCUUACCAGUUAAAUAUCAGUCCUGCCUCAGAGAAAGAGAAGAUCUAAAGAGGAAAAUCUACACAAGAUUGUGUGUGGGCCAGAAAGGCCGCCGUGAAUGGUGAGAAGGUGAGUCAAUCCAUCCAUCCUAAGUCAAAGAAUCCAACCAGUUCCGUGGAGGAGGCACAGAGGAAAAGAGGAAGGAACAAAGUGGAAGAAGAAGAGAAUGAAGAGGUGGGAAGAGAUGGGCAAGGAUGAGAGAGCAGAAGCCAAUCAAGAGAAGAAGGAAAAGCAAACAGAAGAGAGUAGAAAGGAAUGGGGGCCAGAAACAAGCAGGAAUCAUGAAGAGUGGGGAAAGGAGAGACUCUGGAAAUUCAAACAAGUAGAGGAGUGAAAAAAAUAGUGAUGAAAGGCCAGAUCCAGUGUGCUGAAAUAUCUGCCAAGCAUGUCAUUCUACACAAAAGGGAUUUGCAAAUAGCCAGUAGUUGGCGUGAAGAAAGGACAUGUGAAAGCGCUGGGUGUGGAAUUUCCCAUCCUCGGCCGGAGGUCUACUACAGCUCGCUGUUUGCAGAUCUGGGCUGAGCUAUGCAUCACAUUGUUCAUGAAAGAAAAAGCAACUGUUCUCCCCAGUGCCCCUUCCCCGCUCCACAUGGCUGCGAUCAGCAGCCCCAAGACCCUAAUUGCCACAGCCUAUUAGAAAUAAUGAGACUUACAUGGCAGAAGCCAAGGGUAAAAGCGACAUCUCGCAACACGAAAGGUUAAUAUCAACAUAUACGGCUAGUGAGUGCAAAGGGCACCUCAGUUGGUGGCUCAUUAUGGCGGGUUGACCCACAGGGAAAGUGUCAUUCUGCAGAGAGGCUUUCUCAGGAUGUGGCAGCAAAAGUUACAAAAGAUAAGGACUUGCUUGUGAAACGCACUCAACUAAUGAGAGCUGAAGAUUGUUUGAAAUAUCCCGAUGACCUCACAGAUGGGGGAUGCUGAUUAAGAUGGCUACAGGAGGCUCCUUUCUUGUCUGACAGCCCAUUGAGAAGCUUUGGUGAGAUGUGACUAACAGGCCGUGAAGGUGUCUCCAUCUUCUCUGACAUGGUCCAUGCUUUGGGCAAAACAAACAUGAAAAAUAAGUCUGAACUGACACACAUGUUUGAAUUUAGUUUUCAGAGCCAUAUUUGGGGGAAGGAGCACUGGUGGGGCCGUCAGCGAUGAUUCCUUUAUGGUAAAGGGUGUUCGUGACUACUUGCGUGACUAAUCGCAUGACUGCGCUGGGGGUGAGCCAACGGCAAAUUGAGGUCUUGAACACUUGACAAAACAACCCCUGUUCUGUGGGUGAAAUUCUAUAGAGCUUCAUGUGUAAUUAAAUGAAAGUUUCACAAGAGUCUACACCUCAAUCAUUUAAUGCCGAUAUGUAGCACAAAGGAAGGAUUUUUGCCACAUCAAAAUACAUCCAUGAAACAAUGGAGAAAUGUCCCAAGUUUUCAGAGUCAGAGAUACUCACAGAAGAAACCCUGGAGUUCUCUUGACUUCAUUUAGUGCCUGGGACUCUGAAAAGAGAUCACCAUUAUGCUCUCCUCUACCUCAUACUAGAGGUGAGGAUGAGAGCGCACCUCAUACUGCGUAUCUUAAUUCCUCUCCCAGGAAAACUGGAAGGAACACCUAUCCGAUUGCCAUGUCGCUAAAACAAAAAUCACUCAUGUCUUGCAAAAACAGUUCAGAUCUUUCUAUUUAAAGAGCUUAUCACUAUAUUAAACAAGGUUAUACUGGAGUUUUGUCAUGAGAUUUAGGAACAUUUCUUUCAAGUCUUUCUAACUAGCUGUUUUAGUUAUUGAUUGCUGAAUAACAAAUUAACUCAAAAAUUAGUGACAACACAGAAAAUAAAAUUACAUAAAGAUUUUUAUAAUGAGAUUUAAGAAAGAUUUUUCAAGGUUUUCUAACUAGCUGUACUAGUUAAUUAAUUGCUUUAUAACAAAUUGCCACAAAAUAUGGUGGCAUCAAUGACAAUAAACAUUUAUUAUCUCAUAUAGUUUCUGUAGGCAGCCUCAUAAAGUUGCAGUGCAGAUGUUGACCAAAGCUGUGAUGUCAUGUGAAGGUUUGUCUGGAGCUGGAUGAUUCCUCUCAAUUUGGUUUGCUCACAUGUCUGGCAAAUUACUGUUAGUUUUAUUCAGGAGGCCUCUGUUGCCACAUCAGCUUCUCUAUAGAGCUGCCUGCACGUCCUCACGACAUGGGAGCUAGCUUCCCCUACAGCAAUAAUCCAAGAGAAAAAAAAAGCCACAAAUUCUUUUUUAACCUAGUGUCCAAGGUCAUGCCCCACCAUCUCCACAAUAUCCUAGUGGUCACACAGGUCAGCUCUAUUCAGUGUGGGAGGGGAAUACACACAGGCACGAAUACCAGGAGGCAAGAAUCUCUGGGAGCCAUCUUGCAGGCUGGCUAUCACAUUUAUUAAAAGUAUUUCUUAAAGUAUCUUCACCUGACCAAAAAAUAUAAAAACUAUGAUCAUCGAUGUGGUCGGCAAAAAGUCUGCAAGUGAGACAAAAUCAAGGAACUCUAUGGUACACUUUGUAAAGAACGUAUAUUCCAUUUGACUGAAAAUAUUUCCUUGUACUAACUGAUACGUGUUUACAUGUGGCACCUGUAAGACCAAAGUGAAGACAUGAAUUAAGAGAUUACUCAAGAGAAAUUGAUUUUAGUAGAUAAACAAGGUUUUUUGAAACAAUUUGCUCCCUUUUGAUCUCAAGAGCAGGAUUUUUGGCCUAAAGCAUCUAGAAAACUGCAGUCUUCUUUUUCAGUGCAUAUCCAUGGAGUAGUCUACAACCAUUCACCAAUGUGCCAGGCAUAGGGAAUUCAAGAGCAACAAGGUGAAGAAAAUCUUAAUCAGCUGAUUGAGAAUCCAUUUUAUGGAAAGAUCCACCUCUUUGGGGAAAUGGACUUGAUAUUUAGAAACUAAAACAAUAUAAAAAUUUUCAACAAUAGAAGGACAGAAAUAGGAUAUGAAUUAAACAUCAAGCCUGUGGUAAAUUUGCUUUCAGUGAAAAAGACGUAGAAGAGGAAAAAAAUAAAUAAGGAAGAGACGAAAGGAGAAAGAAGUAGCAGUGGACGUAGCUGAGGAGAAUUAUUUCCAACUUUUGAAACCAACAGUUGAACAAUUGAGACUUAUGGUGGUUUAGCACUAAAGUCAAAACAUCUUCUCUCCCAUCCCAACUUCUAUGACCUAAAUAAAUGCAGAGAGAUAGCAUAUUUAUGGAUUACAAAACUCUAUAUUGUUAAAAUGGCAAUGCUGCCCAAAUUCCUCCCAAGAUUCAACUCAAUUCCAAUCAAAAUUUCUAUAAGCAUUCUUAUAAAAAUUGACAAGCUGAUUCUAAUAUUUGUAUGAAAAUUCAAGGAACCUAGAAUAGCCAAAGUAAUUCGAACAAAGAACAUAGUUGAAGGACUUACUCUAUUUGACUUCAGUACUUACUAUAAAGCUAUAGUAAUUCGUUCUGUUUAAUAUUGUGGUAAAGGUAGGCAUAUAGAUCAAUGGAACAGAAUACAGUCCAGAAAUAGACCAGUUGAUUUUUGACAAAUAAGCCAAGGCAACUCAAUGGGGGAAAAUAAAGUCUUUUUAAUAAAUGUCAUUCAAUAAA